CCCUUAGAUGUUCUGGGCCGCACGCGUGCUACACUGAGUGGAUCAGCGGGUCAGGUUGCGCGAAAGUGUUUCCUAAUCUUGAAAUCCGCUCGUGAUGGGGAUUGACGGUUGCAAUUUUCCGUCAUGAACGAGGAAUACCUUGUAAGCGCGGGUCAUCAUCCCGCGCUGAAUACGUCCCUGCCCUUUGUACACACCGCCCGUCGCUCCUACCGAUUGAGUGGUCCGGUGAGGCUUUGGGAUCUGAGCGGAAAGAGCGUUUCGCUGUUUCUGCCCGGAAAACUCAGUCGAACCUUAUCAUUUAGAGGAAGGAGAGGUCGUAACA
rnacentral:rRNA from 1 species